CGGCGGACGGGUGAGUAAUGCUUAGGAAUCUGCCUAUUAGUGGGGGACAACAUCUCGAAAGGGAUGCUAAUACCGCAUACGUCCUACGGGAGAAAGCAGGGGAUCUUCGGACCUUGCGCUAAUAGAUGAGCCUAAGUCGGAUUAGCUAGUUGGUGGGGUAAAGGCCUACCAAGGCGACGAUCUGUAGCGGGUCUGAGAGGAUGAUCCGCCACACUGGGACUGAGACACGGCCCAGACUCCUACGGGAGGCAGCAGUGGGGAAUAUUGGACAAUGGGGGGAACCCUGAUCCAGCCAUGCCGCGUGUGUGAAGAAGGCCUUAUGGUUGUAAAGCACUUUAAGCGAGGAGGAGGCUACUUUAGUUAAUACCUAGAGAUAGUGGACGUUACUCGCAGAAUAAGCACCGGCUAACUCUGUGCCAGCAGCCGCGGUAAUACAGAGGGUGCGAGCGUUAAUCGGAUUUACUGGGCGUAAAGCGUGCGUAGGCGGCUUAUUAAGUCGGAUGUGAAAUCCCCGAGCUUAACUUGGGAAUUGCAUUCGAUACUGGUGAGCUAGAGUAUGGGAGAGGAUGGUAGAAUUCCAGGUGUAGCGGUGAAAUGCGUAGAGAUCUGGAGGAAUACCGAUGGCGAAGGCAGCCAUCUGGCCUAAUACUGACGCUGAGGUACGAAAGCAUGGGGAGCAAACAGGAUUAGAUACCCUGGUAGUCCAUGCCGUAAACGAUGUCUACUAGCCGUUGGGGCCUUUGAGGCUUUAGUGGCGCAGCUAACGCGAUAAGUAGACCGCCUGGGGAGUACGGUCGCAAGACUAAAACUCAAAUGAAUUG
rnacentral:rRNA from 1 species